rnacentral:rRNA from 1 species
AGUGAACGCUGGCGGUAGGCCUAACACAUGCAAGUCGAACGGCAGCACAGGAGAGCUUGCUCUCUGGGUGGCGAGUGGCGGACGGGUGAGGAAUACAUCGGAAUCUACUCUGUCGUGGGGGAUAACGUAGGGAAACUUACGCUAAUACCGCAUACGACCUACGGGUGAAAGCAGGGGACCUUCGGGCCUUGCGAGAUUGAAUGCGACGAUGCAGGAUUAGCUAGUUGGCGGGGUAAAGGCACACCAAGGCGACGAUUCGUAGCUGGUCUGGGAGGAUGAUCAGCCACACUGGAACUGAGACACGGUCCAGACUCCUACGGGAGGCAGCAGUGGAGAAUAUUGGACAAUGGGCGCAAGCCUGAUCCAGCCAUACCGCGUGGGUGAAGAAGGCCUUCGGGUUGUAAAGCCCUUUUGUUGGGAAAGAAAUCCAGCUGGCUAAUACCCGGUUGGGAUGACGGUACCCAAAGAAUAAGCACCGGCUAACUUCGUGCCAGCAGCCGCCGCGG